UCACUUUUUUAGUUCAGAAGAUGUACAACCACUACAACAGAAUUAGGUUAUAGGGACACACGUUUGGGACACUUUUGAGUAAAUGUCCCAUUUAUACUAAAACUUAAAAAAAUAUCUAUUAAUGCCUAAAUAUAAAGCCCAAUCCAACAAAAAAUAAAAGAUUACUCUACUCAACCCACCACACCCAGUCCAUUUGGUCCGAUUACAAACAGAAAAGAAAAAAAAAAAUUCAAUUACCAUCUUUUCUUUUCUCUUCACUCAAUCUACUGAAAUUCUAGACGAAGAGCCUUUCCUGUUGUCCUCCUCCGCCACCGCAGCCAACAAGAUAGAGUUUCGGCGGUUGCUAAAUGCUUAAAUAAGUAUUGGUAAAUUAGCAGCACUCUUUUGGGUUAUAGCGACACUCUUUAACUGUCACUAUAUACCUAGCGACCCCACAUAUAGCAACACUUUUUAGAAGUGUUGGUAAUUUUAGCUAGCAGCACUUUUUUGACAUGUACCUACAUUUAAAAGUGUCGCUAUAGACCGUUUUUGUUGUAGUGAACGUACUAAAAAGGUACCUAAAUUAAGCAUAU
rnacentral:lncRNA from 1 species